rnacentral:rRNA from 1 species
CAGUCGCCGCGGUAAUACGGAGGGUGCAAGCGUUAAUUGGAAUUACUGGGCGUAAAGCGCACGCAGGCGGUCUGACAAGUCAGAUGUGAAAUCCCCGGGCUUAACCUGGGAACUGCAUUUGAAACUGUCAGGCUGGAGUCUUGUAGAGGGGGGUGGAAUUCCAGGUGUAGCGGUGAAAUGCGUAGAGAUCUGGAGGAAUACCGGUGGCGAAGGCGGCCCCCUGGACAAAGACUGACGCUCAGGUGCGAAAGCGUGGGGAGCAAACAGGAUUAGAGACCCGUGUAGUCCCUGUCUCUUAUAC